rnacentral:tRNA from 1 species
GGCGCUGUGGCUCAAGUGGUAGAGCGCUAGCCUAUUGAGCUGAAGAGCUGAGGGACAGCGCCC